rnacentral:rRNA from 1 species
UACGUAGGGCGCAAGCGUUGUCCGGAAUUAUUGGGCGUAAAGGGCUCGUAGGCGGCCUGUUACGUCUGCUGUGAAAUCCCGGGGCUUAACCCCGGGCGUGCAGUGGAUACGGGCAGGCUGGAGGCAGGCAGGGGAGAACGGAAUUCCCGGUGUAGCGGUGAAAUGCGCAGAUAUCGGGAGGAACACCGGUGGCGAAGGCGGUUCUCUGGGCCUGUACUGACGCUGAUGAGCGAAAGCGUGGGGAGCAAACAGG